rnacentral:rRNA from 1 species
CACGUAGGUGGAUAUUUAAGUCAGGGGUGAAAUCCCAGAGCUCAACUCUGGAACUGCCUUUGAUACUGGGUAUCUUGAGUAUGGAAGAGGUAAGUGGAAUUCCGAGUGUAGAGGUGAAAUUCGUAGAUAUUCGGAGGAACACCAGUGGCGAAGGCGGCUUACUGGUCCAUUACUGACGCUGAGGUGCGAAAGCGUGGGGAGCAAACAG